CGAGCGUGCAUUGUUGCGUUACAUAAAUCCUCAUAGAGGACAUCCUGUAAAAAGUUAGGAGCCUCGACUAAAGAAAGAUCCACAACACGAUCUAAACUAGCAAAUUGAGCUAACCUAUGAGCAAUACUAGGUUCGAUUAGCGAGUCCCGCCACCUCCACCACUCCACGCCUGAGCCACCUCCUCCGCCACCGAGCCACCUCCAUGGCUCCACUGCGAGUCUGCGACAGUCGCAGUGCGACUCCUUCAAGGCUUCAAUCCCAGAUCCCAGGUAUUCGAUUUUUGGGCUGCGGUCUGCAUCUUUGGAUUCUCUGCGACAGUGCGACUCCUUGAACUCUUGAAGGCUUCAAAUCUUCAAUCCUUGAUGCUCAGAUUCUCAGGUUUGGCUAUAGAGACAUCAAAAAAAAUUUUUGGGCUUCGCCCAAAAGAAUUGCCCACCCCAUUUUCGAAUCCUGGCUACGUCCCUGAUUAUCCGUACGUUGACGAAGUGGAUAACCAGCCUGUGGUGGGCAUGGACCAAAGGACCGACGUCGGUGGCGUCGUGCUCGAAUGCACCGCUGCAUCCGAUCUUGGUAUUCGUCAUCAUCCCAAAUAUUAUGAUACUUUAGUGGGGUUCUGGUGUCAAAGGCUGCAACCAAUCUCCUUCUCUCUCCCCCUUGAACACAAUUAACCCCCAGCUUUGCAAGCACCGACCGAAAAGCCAUUGCCUUGAUCUCCAUCUCCACAAUCAAAUUCAACGGAAAACCACUAGUAAUUGGCAACUGAAUUCGACUCACCUGUGCUGCUGCAAACUAGAUAAGUUUCAGCCGCAAACCCCUACGAUGUUUGUGUCAGAUUUGGGCCGGGCAUUGUUUCUCUUCUGGGCUUCUACGAUAGACCAACAUAUAAAAAUCUGCUCUUCCAUUGCAGCAUCCUCCUCCUCCUUCCAUUUAGGGUUUAGGGGUUUUGGUGGUUCGCAGCUUCCUUUUCUCCAUUUAAGAUUGAAAGAGUAUAUAUGGCUCUUCGUUGCAUGCUUGGAAAGCUGGGCAACAAUAAUAAAUUUCUCUGCUAUAAAGGAAGAGCUAUGAUGCUUGGGACCUUUGAAGUUAUCAAACACAAAAAUAAGGAAUUGCUUUCAACGGCUUUUCCAACUCAUUCCUCUCCUCUUCAUUUUCAGGACCUUGAAUUUCGUGCCCCCGUAC